rnacentral:pre_miRNA from 1 species
CAUAUACUCCCUUCGUCCGAAAAUACUUGUCAUAAAAAAUGGAUAAAAAGAGAUGUAUUUAAAAAUAUUUUAGUUCUUGAUACAUUUUUUUAUCCAUUUUGAUGACUAGUAUUUUCAGACGGAGGCCAU